rnacentral:rRNA from 1 species
UACGGAGGGGGCGAGCGUUGUUCGGAAUUACUGGGCGUAAAGGGCGCGUAGGCGGCGCGAUCAGUCAGGCGUGAAAGCCCGGGGCUCAACCUCGGAAUUGCGCUUGAUACUGUCGUGCUUGAGACCGGAAGAGGGUAGUGGAAUUCCCAGUGUAGAGGUGAAAUUCGUAGAUAUUGGGAAGAACACCAGUGGCGAAGGCGGCUACCUGGUCCGGAUCUGACGCUGAGGCGCGAAAGCGUGGGGAGCAAACAGG